rnacentral:rRNA from 1 species
UACGGGGGGGCAAGCGUUGUUCGGAAUUACUGGGCGUAAAGGGCUCGUAGGCGGCCAACUAAGUCGGAUGUGAAAUCCCCAGGCUCAACUUGGGAACUGCAUCCGAUACUGGAUGCUUGAAUUCGGGAGAGGGAUGCAGAAUUCCAGGUGUAGCGGUGAAAUGCGUAGAUAUCUGGAGGAAUACCGGUGGCGAAGGCGGCAUCCUGGACCGACAUUGACGCUGAGGAGGCGAAAGCUAAGGG